UACGUAGGAUCCGAGCGUUGUCCGGAUUUACUGGGCGUAAAGGGUGCGCAGGCGGACUGGUAAGUCAGGGGUGAAAUCUCGUCGCUUAACGACGAAACUGCCUUUGAUACUAUCAGUCUUGAGUCCGGUAGAGAUCUGUGGAAUUCCGAGUGUAGCAGUGAAAUGUGUAGAUAUUCGGAAGAACACCAGUGGCGAAGGCAGCAGAUUGGGCCGGUACUGACGCUCAGGCACGAAAGCAUGGGGAUCAAACAGG
rnacentral:rRNA from 1 species